UGACUGUCAGGCCACCUUAAGCCACAGUACGGAAGAAGCUGUGCUGCCUGUGAGCCCCGUCCAAGGACGUUAAAAGAAGAAGUCAGGCCCCAAAGCCACGGUUUGAGCAAACCGUGCUGCCUGUAGCUCCGUCGUGGGGACGUAAAAACCUGGGAGGCUGCAAACUGUGGAAGCUGUACGCACAGUGUAGCAGACUAGUGGUUAGAGGAGACCCCUCCCAUGACACAACGCAGCAGCGGGGCCCGAGCACUGAGGGAAGCUGUACCUC
rnacentral:lncRNA from 1 species